CUACGGGACGCACCAGUGGGGAAUAUUGCACAAUGGGCGCAAGCCUGAUGCAGCCAUGCCGCGUGUAUGAAGAAGGCCUUCGGGUUGUAAAGUACUUUCAGCGGGGAGGAAGGGAGUAAAGUUAAUACCUUUGCUCAUUGACGUUACCCGCAGAAGAAGCACCGGCUAACUCCGUGCCAGCAGCCGCGGUAAUACGGAGGGUGCAAGCGUUAAUCGGAAUUACUGGGCGUAAAGCGCACGCAGGCGGUUUGUUAAGUCAGAUGCGAAAUCCCCGGGCUCAACCUGGGAACUGCAUCUGAUACUGGCAAGCUUGAGUCUCGGAGAGGGGGGUAGAAUUCCAGGUGUAGCGGUGAAAUGCGUAGAGAUCUGGAGGAAUACCGGUGGCGAAGGCGGCCCCCUGGACGAAGACUGACGCUCAGGUGCGAAAGCGUGGGGAGCAAACAGGAUUAGAUACCCCCGUAGUC
rnacentral:rRNA from 1 species